UACGUAGGGUGCAAGCGUUGUCCGGAAUUAUUGGGCGUAAAGAGCUCGUAGGCGGUCUGUCGCGUCGGCUGUGAAAACCCGGAGCUCAACUCCGGGCCUGCAGUCGAUACGGGCAGACUGGAGUUCGGCAGGGGAGACUGGAAUUCCUGGUGUAGCGGUGAAAUGCGCAGAUAUCAGGAGGAACACCGGUGGCGAAGGCGGGUCUCUGGACCAUAACUGACGCUGAUGCACGAAAGCUGGGGGAGCAAACAGG
rnacentral:rRNA from 1 species